rnacentral:SRP_RNA from 1 species
GAUGGGUGUAGUGGCAUGUUCCUGUAGUCCUAGCUACUCAGGAGGCCAAGGUGGGAGGAUCCCUUGAGCCCAGGAGUUCUGGGCUGUAGUGCACUCUGCCAACCACAUGGCAGGUUUGGCAUCAAUAGGGUGACCAACUGGAAGGGAGGACCACCAAGUUGCCUAAGGAGGUCAGAAAUGAAGCAGGUCAGAACUCCCAUGCUGAUCAGUGGUGGGGUCAUGGCUGUGAAUAGCCGCUGCACUCCAGCCUGGGAACCAUAGUGAGACCCCACCCUAU